rnacentral:rRNA from 1 species
GAUGAACGCUGGCGGCGUGCCUAAUACAUGCAAGUCGAGCGAACGGACUAGAAGCUUGCUUCUCUGAUGUUAGCGGCGGACGGGUGAGUAACACGUGGAUAACCUACCUAUAAGACUGGGAUAACUUCGGGAAACCGGAGCUAAUACCGGAUAAUAUUAUGAACCGCAUGGUUCAAAAGUGAAAGACGGUCUUGCUGUCACUUAUAGAUGGAUCCGCGCUGCAUUAGCUAGUUGGUAAGGUAACGGCUUACCAAGGCAACGAUGCAUAGCCGACCUGAGAGGGUGAUCGGGCACACUGGAACUGAGACACGGUCCAGACUCCUACGGGAGGCAGCAGUAGGGAAUCUUCCGCAAUGGGCGAAAGCCUGACGGAGCAACGCCGCGUGAGUGAUGAAGGUCUUCGGAUCGUAAAACUCUGUUAUUAGGGAAGAACAUAUGUGUAAGUAACUGUGCACAUCUUGACGGUACCUAAUCAGAAAGCCACGGCUAACUACGUG